rnacentral:lncRNA from 1 species
UGGAGACAUGACACUGGAGUCCUUUUGAUGCCUCCUAUUCAUGCAUCUGUCAGAACUUCACGUUCUUUGAAAAAUAGACAUUGUGCUAUGGACAUGCCAGGAAUUUAGGACACAAAUGGGAUUUCAGCCUGGAAAUGCUUCUGUACUGUCUAAGCCUGGUGAGCUGGAUGAAGGAGGAUUUUUCCAUAAUUUUUCUCUGGAUUUGAGAUUCUUGCUCUCAGUUUUAUACCAAGGUUGUUUCAUAAAAACAUCUUCAACCAACUUGAUUUCAACCUGA